UACGUAGGCAGCGAGCGUUGUUCGGAAUUACUGGGCGUAAAGAGUGUGUAGGCGGUGCUCUAAGUUCGGUGUGAAAUCUCCUGGCUUAACUGGGAGGGUGCGCCGGAAACUGGGGUGCUCGAGCGUGGGAGAGGAAAGCGGAAUUCCUGGUGUAGCGGUGAAAUGCGUAGAUAUCAGGAGGAACACCAAUGGCGAAGGCAGCUCGCUGGGACGUGACUGACGCUGAGACGCGAAAGCGUGGGGAGCAAACAGG
rnacentral:rRNA from 1 species